rnacentral:misc_RNA from 1 species
CUCUUAACCACGUGACUGGUGGUUACAUGUCUACUAGUAUGGUUAGGCCAAGUUCAAGGCCAUUAGAAGAGGCAAUUCCCGCCAAAAAAGCACACAUACACACGUGUGUGCCAUGCACCCCUAGAGCAUGUGCACACAAACCACUCUCAAAAUCUAUAAACAUAUAUCAUAUCAUGUGUUGACAGAGCCAUGUUAUUAUUUUCUUUUCUUUGGAGUUUCUUCCCAUCAAAAGACGGAGCGAUGAAAAUGAUGGCGGCCAAGAUAAGAGAAGCUUGGUAGCUUUCCUUGUUUUCUAUGAACAGCUCAAACUUCUAAGUUCAAUCCAUUAUUUUCGCUUACCCAUUUGAUUUUCUUUGCCCCUUAAGGUCCCACCAUCUCCUUCCUUUCAUUCUACAAUCGAUGCUGUCAUUGAAUUUCAUCACCCCACUUCUUUCACACUCUAUGACUACUAUUUAAAACAUAAGCUUUCUCUCUCUUCUCCUAACUUUCUCACACAAAAAUAUUAAGGUAACAAAUCCCCCUCCCUUGGGAAUCUGCAAUGCCAUUAAUAAUCAAUGGCAAACCCCACCAAAAAAAAUUAAUAAAUCUCCAAACUCACCAAACUCUACCUCACACAUAUAUACACAAAAUAAUCUACAUAUCAAUCGUCUCAAUUUGCCCUCAAAACGCUCCAAGAAAAUAUUUUUGAGGAUUCUAUAUAACUUGGACCACCAUUAUUUUCUUUCCUUUAUUUUUUUUUCUCCUUUUUUCCUUCCAUUUUUUAUAUCCUCUUUGCCAUCACUCGGAGUUUCCUUUGUCAUCAUCCGUCCAUAAGCAGUUAUUUAAUUUUCUCCUUUUAUGAGAUGAUGAUGAGGAAGAAGAUGAAGAUGGAGAAGAAGAUGAGUCACUGGACCUCAUUCUAGCCCGGAUUGUUACUCUAAGCAGCGGUAAGACUUUUGGGGGUUUCCUCCGGCUGUUGUCAAGCACAAGAUCUUGCAUUAAGCGGUAGCAGCUGAUGAUGUUUUCUUUGCUUAGCCCAUCACACCACGAUUCAGCAUGUUCAGGAUUAAAAAGAGACAAGUUUGGUAUUUCAUUGGCUGCACAAAGUAUGGCUGCGGCAGCAAUGCUUGAUGGCCAAUACUCAAGAAAACUCGCUUCUUUCAUAUUAGAUAAAAUGAUUUCCGUGGCCCUUGAAAUCAGAAACCCAAUGUAAGUUCCCGUUGAAUCGAUCUUGCAUGCGAAGAAACCAAGAAAGCUAAAUGGUGUUAUGGAUCGUAGCCUCCAAUCCAACACACUGAGAACGAGAAGUUCCAUUCUGCGGAUUGUUCUGGGUUCGAAGAUAUAUUUGGCACCUUCAAACUGGAGAUCCAAUAGAGAAGGAACCAGAGCUUCCUCCAUCUUAGCUGCUACUGACAAGCAAGCAACGGAUAAAAGGUGCAUUGGCCAUCCAUUUGCUUGCGGCAAUGGACGGGAAUAAAGGAACCGAUCCAAAUAGUUGACGGACAGAUAAGCCGUCAAUGGCUGGAAUCUAUAGUAUGCUUGCACCUGAAAAAACGAA